UACGUAGGGGGCAAGCGUUGUCCGGAUUUAUUGGGCGUAAAGAGCGUGUAGGCGGCUAGGUAGGUCCGUUGUGAAAACUCGAGGCUCAACCUCGAGACGCCGGUGGAAACCAUCUAGCUAGAGUCCGGAAGAGGAGAGUGGAAUUCCUGGUGUAGCGGUGAAAUGCGCAGAUAUCAGGAAGAACACCAGUGGCGAAGGCGACUGACUGGACCGGUACUGACGCUGAGGCGCGAAAGCGUGGGGAGCAAACGGG
rnacentral:rRNA from 1 species